CUCCUAAGGCAGGAGGAGGGUCUGGCGGAGGAGGGAGCUGGGUGGAGCGGAAGCUUUCCAAGGUGUGUGUGUUGGGGGUGAGGGCCAAGGAACAGCUGCGGGACCUAGCAAAAGUUAAGUUGGUGGUGGUGUUAUCGGACACGGUUUUAGGAGAAAGUCGGAAGAAGCCAGACCAUCUAAGCCCCGGGACAAGCCUCUCAGUCCUGCAGGCGCCUCACGAAACCCGGAUGUUCACCCCACCCUCACGGCCAGCACCACCUCAAGGGCCACCACCAGCUUUGCCUUGUUUCUAAACUUCUUCCCUUUCGUACCGGGGAUUGAACUCGGGUCCUUGCGCUUGCAGGGCAGGCGGCGGAACCACUGAGCUAAACUUCUUCCCUUGACUGACGCUCUUCACAAACCAGGGCAGCCUGACUCAGUCUGUGCGUGGCUGUGACUGUGGCGGGAACUUCUGGGCUUUGUCAGGAAGUGCUCCCCUCGAGCCUGUACAGCCUUCUCCUUUUGGUGCCCGGUGCCCCUAUCCCUGGAAGUCCACUGUGCGGGAACAAGAGAGACCAAGCAGGCA
rnacentral:lncRNA from 1 species